UGUUGUUGCCGGGCAGAGUCUCCGCAGGGGAUGGUGUACACAGUUACAGCCCUCAUUCUGCAUAGGGGAAGAGAUGAUAGGAUUGCUGCACAGUUUAUGACACACAACCAUGGCACUUGCUCUCCUGAUGUACCACCACUCAUGAAAGACC